GUUUGAUCAUGGCUCAGGAUGAACGCUGGCGGCGUGCUUAACACAUGCAAGUCGAACGGGAAUUACUUUAUUGAAACUUCGGUCGAUUUAAUUUAAUUCUAGUGGCGGACGGGUGAGUAACGCGUGGGUAACCUGCCUUAUACAGGGGGAUAACAGUCAGAAAUGGCUGCUAAUACCGCAUAAGCGCACAGAGCUGCAUGGCUCAGUGUGAAAAACUCCGGUGGUAUAAGAUGGACCCGCGUUGGAUUAGCUAGUUGGUGGGGUAACGGCCCACCAAGGCGACGAUCCAUAGCCGGCCUGAGAGGGUGGACGACCACAUUGGGACUGAGACACGGCCCAGACUCCUACGGGAGGCAGCAGUGGGGAAUAUUGCACAAUGGGGGAAACCCUGAUGCAGCGACGCCGCGUGAAGGAAGAAGUAUCUCGGUAUGUAAACUUCUAUCAGCAGGGAAGAUAGUGACGGUACCUGACUAAGAAGCCCCGGCUAACUACGUGCCAGCAGCCGCGGUAAUACGUAGGGGGCAAGCGUUAUCCGGAUUUACUGGGUGUAAAGGGAGCGUAGACGGUGUGGCAAGUCUGAUGUGAAAGGCAUGGGCUCAACCUGUGGACUGCAUUGGAAACUGUC
rnacentral:rRNA from 1 species